UUGAGUUCCUUCAUUUCCGCUCCCUCCCACGCAUCGUCGUCGCACGUCCUUCUUCUCCCAAGCGAAACGCUGCCGUCUCUUUCUUCCAUCUCCUCGAUCCACUGAUGAACGAAUUCCAUCCACUGAUGCAGUUCCCCUCUCUUCCCUUCGCCGCACCGCCCCUAAACCAUCCAUACAACCACCAUGGCUGCUGUCUCCGAGCACACGCGCGUCGCAGGGCAGCUUAACCGUUCGACGGAAUGUCUCAACGGACCUCUGUUCCUCCCCGGCCGCUCCGUUGUUGACCACCAGUGCAAAUUCCGAUUCCGAUACACCCUCUACGCCGUCGCUGCACAGCCUGCGUCGCUAGGAAUUUCAGCUCAUGAAUGCACAAUCAGUGUGUUCACCAAACAACGAGAGCUGCUGUUUUCAGUGGCAUCGAUGUUGCGUAGAAGCUACCAUAUAUAUGCCCGCCAAGUGUUCACCAAAACGCCAAAGCUGCUCAACUAUCUAUCUUCGGGAAGUUGGUUGACGAUGUCAUCAACCAAGGUGUGCGUUCCCACAGAGUCAGGCCUACACACAAUCUGGAAUGGUCAUUCUCCAAACAAAAGGAUCUUAAGUGGCUGGUGAGGCCUACAGAGCUACCGACGGUUUGUGUAGUGGUGUAAAAAUCAUACUCAGUACUCACCGUAUUUAUUACUAUAUUGCUUCAGGAGUAGCUAAGUUUAUUUUCAUAGGCGUCUUUAGUCAGGUUUAUAUGGGUGAUUUCUUAUUGUCUUCCCAGGUAAUUCCACCCGAAGGGAACACUUCUCUACGGUUACAAGGUUCUCAUUUCAACGCCAUACAGAGAACUACACACAGAGGUUUCUCCUAUAGGAUCCCUAGCAUAAGCACCCACCCGUAUAAACAUGUUAAAAAGACCGAGGGAAAAACUAAACUACUUCAUUUCACAACAUAGCUUACAUAUGGUUUUCCCUUUCGGGAACCCAAAGAAAUUACCUUACUACCUUCCCAGACUUAUGUUACAAAUGCCUUGAUUACACAGGCUUUAUUACAGUGGGAAAUGGUACUGCUACUAGAGAGCAGAUAGUUUUCUGGCUAGCUGCUCUAACUACUUGCUGCUCUGAUGGCUUAUGUUGUGCUCUCGAUGGUUGUGUUCUCCAAUGCUGCAAAGAGCCUUCUUAUAUAGGCAAGAUGGCUGGCUCAAAUAGUGCUUUCAUGCAUUAUUUACCUCACCUUUCUCCAUGGCCAUGAUGCACCUUUUUUAUAGGUCCUAGGUCUCCUUUAUAGGUGCAUACAUGCAUGGUGAUAAGGGGUUUUUUGGCUGCCACUAUCAUCUUUGGCUACAUUAGUACGUGGCCUCCUUCAUAUAGGGAGUUUCUUGUACUUCCAUGAUGAUGUCUGCGACAACUAUAUCAGAUAUGUAGCCUUAUCUUGUGCUUCCUUGACUAUCUCCAUAUGCGUACCACAAUUCAUAGGAUCUCUUGUAUUUGUGAGAUCUAGCAUGCUAAUGAUGGAUCUUAUAUGAUUAUAUAGUUACUAUUUAUUAUUAUUAUUAUUAAUCAAUUUUUUUAUAUAUUUUUAAUUUGUACCUUAGUUUCCAAUUCUUACUCAUAUUCUUAUUCAAAUUAUAUUCUAUCAACUAUUCGGGUAUCUGUGUGUAUAUGUCCUCCCCGCCCGAAUAAUUGAUAGUAUUACCAAUUAAAAUUCUGGCUUCUGCCCAUGGCCUGCAAUAUCCAUGUGAUCAUCAUCUGAAAGAUUAAAAUCAAAUUUUGAAAGAUUUAGUUCAAUUUUUAAAUCAUAUUCUUUCUUUAUUUUUUCAAAUUUUUGCAUGAAUUCAAGUCUUGAUUAUUUUAAAAUUUCUUCUUUUAACUCUUCUUUCCAUAAUUUUGAGGUAUCUUCUAAUGUUUCGUUUAUCUUCAGAUCUAUAUAUUCAGAAUCUAAAGGAUCCACUCCUUUUACUAGGCAGUCUUUGCAUGUUUGAUAUUUAGGAGAUUCUUCUUCUUUUACCUUCUUUAAUAUUAAUGUUUCUUCUUUUACAUUCUUUGUAUUUGAUGAAGAAGAAAUAUGCAACUCUAAAGGUUUCAAGUUUUUGACCUUUUCUUUUAUGGCCUUGACUAAUUUUAUGUCUUCAGAGUUAAAAUACCUUUGGCCAUUCUUUCUUAAUUUAGCGUAUAAAGGUCCAGCUAGUUUUGCUAAAUUAUCUAUAUAAUUUCUUGCAUAAUUUACAAUUCCUAAGAAUUGUUGUAGGACCUUUUUGUCAUUCAUAGCAUCAUGAAAUUGUAUUUUCUUAGCGAUAUGCUCUUGCAGAUGUAUUUUUCCUUCUCCUAUCUCGUGCCCAAGAAAAUUUAUUUUCUCUUUACAAAUCUCCAUUUUCUUUUUAGAUAAUAUUAGGCCAUUUUGUUCUACCUUUCUAAAGAAGACUUCAAGGCGCAUUUUUCAAUCCGAAGGGCAUUACCAGCCAUUCAUAAUGACCUUGAGGGCAUGUAAACGUUGUUCAAGGAAUAGAUUCCUCAGCCAUUUUUACUUGCCAAAACCCGGCCUUUAGAUCAAACUUAGAAAAAUAUUUCCUUCCUUGUAUUCUAUUAAUCCACUCUUGCUUAUUGGGUAUAUUGAAUGCAUCGUCUAUUGUAUUAUCAUUAAGUCUCUUGUAAUUAAUAACCAUUAUAGAUUUUCCCCUGACUUCCUCAGCAUGAUUCCUAACUAUAAAGGCAGCUGACCUAUGAGGGCUUCUGCUUUCCCUAAUGGCUUUUAACUUCAAUAACUCUUCAAUAUGCAUUUUGAAUUCUUCUAUAUCCUUGGGAGCAGUUUCUAUUGGUCCUGACUUAAUUAUGUAAUCAGGGUUGAUAAUAUUUAUUUUGCAAACUAUGGAAUUCUUAUCCCAAUGUUUCAUUGGUAUUUCUCCAAUAAUUUGUAUAUAUUCUAGUUUUUGUACUAUUUUGUCUAUAUCUUUUUUGGUUUUUAUAUCUCUGUACCAAUUUGGCGAGAAUGAUUGUAGACCUAUACAUUCUAUACAUGUAUUUUCUA